rnacentral:misc_RNA from 1 species
UGUGGGAGCGAGCCUGCUCGCGAUAGCGGUGGAUCAGUUGUAUCGAUGUUGGCUGAUACCCUGCUAUCGCGAGCAGGCUCGCUCCCACA